rnacentral:rRNA from 1 species
CCUACGGGUGGCAGCAGUGGGGGAUAUUGCACAAUGGGGGAAACCCUGAUGCAGCGACGCCGCGUGAGUGAUGAAGUAUUUCUGUAUGUAAAGCUCUAUCAGCAGGGGAGAAAAUGACAGUACCUGACCAAGAAGCCCCGUCUAACUACGUGCCAGCAGCCGCGGUAAUACGUAGGGGGCAGGCGUUAUCCGGAUUUACUGGGUGUAAAGGGAGCGUAGGCGGUUAUGUAAGUCUGGAGUGAAAGCCCGGGGCUCAACCCCGGGACUGCUUUGGAAACUGGGUAACUGGAGUACGGGAGGGGUAGGCGGAAUUCGUGGUGUAGCGGUGAAAUGCGUAGAUAUCAGGAGGAACACCGGUGGCGAAGGCGGCCUGCUGGACUGAAACUGACGUUGAGGCUCGAAAGCGUGGGGAGCAAACAGGAUUAGAUACCCUUGUAGUC